AGAGAACUGGUUAACCCCUUCCACUAUGUAAGGACACAGCAAGAAGUCACCAUCUAUGAACCAGACAGGGAGCCCUUUCCAGACAAUGAAUCUUCUGGUGCCUUGAUCUUAGACUUCCUAGCCUCUAGGACUGUACGAUGCCAACAUCCAGAACAAAGGACAGUCAAAGUUUUGCUUAUACGAUGUGCAGAACCACUAGAAACCCACGGAAAAUUGUCUCCCAACAAUCGAUCCACACCUGAUUCAAGCUGCCUGCUAGAUUGUUCCAAAAUUUGUUUUAUGAGUUGAACUGUUUAGUUAAGAAUCUAACUACUUCAUAUGUUCCUUCGUUGCAUGUAAUUUUACUGAGCACUCUCAUCGGUACCUAUAGGAAGAUUUGACUUAAAAGAAGAAA
rnacentral:lncRNA from 1 species